rnacentral:rRNA from 1 species
GGUUGAUCCUGCCAGUAGUCAUAUGCUUGUCUUAAAGAUUAAGCCAUGCACGUCUAAGGAUAAAUAUUUUUUAACCGUAAACCUGCGGAUGGCUCAUUAAAUCAGUUACAAUCUACUUCAUUGUAUAAAAUACUUGGAUAACCGUAGUAAUUCUAGAGCUAAUACAUGCAAAAAAUUUGAACUCGCAAGGGAACAAAUGUACUUAUUAGGGAGCAAAAUCAAUACAGGUCAUUCCAAACUCUAGAUUAUACCUUCACGGGUAUUUUUUAGGGGACUUGUAAAAAACAAUUGAA